AACGAACGCUGGCGGCAUGCCUAACACAUGCAAGUCGAACGCUAUCUUUGAUAGAGUGGCGCACGGGUGAGUAACGCGUGGGAACCUGCCUUUUUCUGCGGGACAACGGUUGGAAACGACCGCUAAUACCGCAUACGCCCUACGGGGGAAAGGUCAGCCGCUGAAAGAGGGGCCCGCGUCUGAUUAGCUUGUUGGCAAGGUAACGGCCUACCAAGCCUACGAUCUAUAGCUGGUUUUAGAGGAUGAUCAGCAACACUGGGACUGAGACACGGCCCAGACUCCUACGGGAGGCAGCAGUGGGGAAUCUUGCACAAUGGAGGAAACUCUGAUGCAGCGAUGCCGCGUGAGUGAAGAAGGCCCUUGGGUUGUAAAGCUCUUUCGUCGGGGAAGAAAAUGACUGUACCCGAAUAAGAAGGUCCGGCUAACUUCG
rnacentral:rRNA from 1 species